rnacentral:rRNA from 1 species
UACGUAGGGUGCAAGCGUUAAUCGGAAUUACUGGGCGUAAAGCGUGCGCAGGCGGUUUGGUAAGACAGAUGUGAAAUCCCCCGGGCUCAACCUGGGAAUUGCAUUUGUGACUGCCCGACUAGAGUGUGUCAGAGGGGGGUAGAAUUCCACGUGUAGCAGUGAAAUGCGUAGAGAUGUGGAGGAACACCGAUGGCGAAGGCAGCCCCCUGGGCUAACACUGACGCUCAGGCACGAAAGCGUGGGGAGCAAGAGAUGAUAACGGUAA